AACGAACGCUGGCGGCCUGCCUAACACAUGCAAGUCGAACGAGACCUUCGGGUCUAGUGGCGCACGGGUGCGUAACGCGUGGGAAUCUGCCCUUGGGUUCGGAAUAACAGUUGGAAACGACUGCUAAUACCGGAUGAUGACGUAAGUCCAAAGAUUUAUCGCCCAAGGAUGAGCCCGCGUAGGAUUAGCUAGUUGGUGAGGUAAAGGCUCACCAAGGCGACGAUCCUUAGCUGGUCUGAGAGGAUGAUCAGCCACACUGGGACUGAGACACGGCCCAGACUCCUACGGGAGGCAGCAGUGGGGAAUAUUGGACAAUGGGCGAAAGCCUGAUCCAGCAAUGCCGCGUGAGUGAUGAAGGCCUUAGGGUUGUAAAGCUCUUUUACCCGGGAUGAUAAUGACAGUACCGGGAGAAUAAGCUCCGGCUAACUCCGUG
rnacentral:rRNA from 1 species